rnacentral:rRNA from 1 species
AUGCGCAGGGUCCCCGACCGCAACCGUUACCACCGCAGUCCAACUCGCUCUGACUUCUGCUCACUCGCCAACCGCUCUCGGACCGGGCGUGCCCCCACUUGUCAAUCACAUGGGCUGCAGCCACGUCACCACGAUGGGGCUCCGGACGUCGUGCCCGCGGCCGUCCGACCAGACGAGGUGCCCGUGCACGGGCGCCGCGGUGGAGGGGGCGGACGCCGCCGACACCGUCACCGCGAAGCUCUGCUUCUUCGCGGACGGGGAGAAGACGAGCUUCUCCGGCUUCACCGCCACGGACGCGCCGCCGCUCGCCAUCUCCACGCGCGCCUUGUACGUCGCGGACGCCUCCGCGCCGACGUUGGUCGCCGUGCGGAUCACCGUCUUCGACUGGUUGCCGCCGUAGAGCACCACCGAGAUGGACGGGUAGUUAAGGUCGGACCCCGACGGCUUCCUGCCCGUCGCGGCGGGGCACGCCACGGGCUUGUGCGUGAUCACCUCGAUCGCGUUGGCCGCGUACCCGAUGCUGCACAUGAACGCCACGUAGUCCUCGUCCCCGGCGUCGUACACCAGCCCCGGGUCCAGGGCCUUGCCCAGCGCGAUGUGCCCCGCGCCGUGGUCGAACGGCGUCGCGGCGCGCCUGGGCUCGGCCUCGUCCGCCACGGCGCCGCCGCGGUUGUCGGUCACGAUGGCCGUGGUCAUCAGCGCCGAGCGGAUGGCCGCCGGCGACCACCCGGGGUGCGCGGACCGGAGCAGCGCGGCGGCGCCACUCGCGUGCGGGCACGCCAUGGACGUCCCCGACAGGAUGUUGAACUCCGUCCGCCGGUCGUCGGCCUCCAGGCCGGUUGGACCGGUGGCGCCCGUCCACGCCGCGAGGAUGUUGACGCCGGGCGCGAUGAAGUCGGGCUUGAGGAUUUCCGGGACGAGUCCGUUCGGCCCGCGCGCCGAGAAGGAGGCCACCAGGGGAGCCGGCUUGACGCCGAUGACCGUGCCCCGGAACACAAUUGUUGCGGUCGGGUUGGUGGUGUUGGCAGCGUACGCCUUGAGCGCGUCGCCCUCGUUCUCGCCCACCGAGCAAGCAGGGAGGACGUGGGCGUCCCCUACUAG